GAUGAAGAACGUAGCGAAAUGCGAUACGUAAUGUGAAUUGCAGAAUUCAGUGAAUCAUCGAGUCUUUGAACGCACAUUGCGCCCCCUGGUAUUCCGGGGGGCAUGCCUGUCUGAGCGUCAUUUCAACCCUCAUGCCCCUAGGGCGUGGUGUUGGGGAUCGGCCAAAGCCCGCGAGGGACGGCCGGCCCCUAAAUCUAGUGGCGGACCCGUCGUGGCCUCCUCUGCGAAGUAGUGAUAUUCCGCAUCGGAGAGCGAUGAGCCCCUGCCGUUAAACCCCCAACUUUCCAAGGUUGACCUCAGAUCAGGUAGGAAUACCCGCUGAACUUAAGCAUAUCAAUAAGCGGAGGA
rnacentral:misc_RNA from 1 species